rnacentral:lncRNA from 1 species
CCUCCCCCCGCGGGUCGCCACUAGCCGGACAAGGCGGCGCCCCCCGGGGAGCCCGGCGAGGCCCGGCUCUUUCUCCGACCCCACCCAGCAGAGGGCCAGUCUGUGUGGCUCAGUUGGGUCAGGCGCUCUGGCCACUGACCAGCUCUUCUUUUGCAGGGGAAGAGGCAGCGGGGAUGGGGUGUGGGUGAGGUUUCCCUGCUUGGAUGCCGAAGAAGUGCGCCCGGAAAGCACCCAGGGAGUUCGAGGGGAAGGAGACGGCAGGGUCCUGAGACGGGGCGUGGGGAAGCUGCUAACAGGAAAGCCUGCGACAAUCUUUGGAAAAUGCUGAAUAGGGAAUGGAUUGGCAGACAUUAGAGGAACACCUUUAUGGAGAGGGGCUGCUAAAAGAAGAAAGACUAACAGUAUUGCAAGAGGCAGUACCUCAUUUAGACUUGGUGUUUCUGCAGGAGCCCCAGCUGAUUCAUCUCUGAAACUAGACGGUGAGGUCCCUUCUUGAUUUAGUAGUUUCCAGUUCUGUUAUCACUAGCUCUUUCAAUGAGGAGUGCAUGACUUAACACACUAUUGAAAUGAAUAAAUGAUUUAAAGACUGAAAUAUUGCACUCUUUUCUUUAAAUUUGGUCCUAUUUCUUAGACUGUUUCUGCACUUUUGGGAAAUUUAUGCAUAAAAUUUUGAAGUGAAACCUCAACCUGGACAUGUGUUCUAAUACUAAGUAUUCUCACAAUGGAACUUGUUGAAGGGUAUUGGAUUCCAAGCUAAGAGCUAAGGGACACAGGAGAAUUUGUGUGUCCUGUUACUUAGGCUGUGGAAGAGAAGCACACAGGAUCCCCCAGUCUGCUAUUACUGUGUUUAUUUAUAAGGUGAUUGCUGCUAAUUUAGUGUAUUCCUGAAAUUUU